rnacentral:rRNA from 1 species
GAUGAACGCUGGCGGCGUGCCUAAUACAUGCAAGUCGAGCGAACGGACGAGAAGCUUGCUUCUCUGAUGUUAGCGGCGGACGUGUGAGUAACACGUGGAUAACCUACCUAUAAGACUGGGAUAACUUCGGGAAACCGGAUCUAAUACCGGAUAAUAUUUUGAACCGCCUGGUUCAAAAGUGAAAGACGGUCUUGCUGUCACUUAUAGCUGGAUCCGCGCUGCAUUAGCUAGUUGGUAAGGUAACGGCUUACCAAGGCAACGAUGCAUAGCCGACCUGACAGGGUGAUCGGCCACACUAGAACUGAGACACGGUCCAGACUCCUACGGGAGGCAGCAGUAGGGCAUCUUCCGCAAUGGGCGAAAGCCUGACGGAGCAACGCCGCGUGAGUGAUGAAGGUCUUCGGAUCGUAGAACUCUGUUAUUAGGGAAGAACAUAUGUGUAAGUAACUGUGCACAUCUUGACGGUACCUAAUCAGAAAGCCACGGCUAACUACGUG